rnacentral:pre_miRNA from 1 species
UCUUAUGGAUGAAUAAAGAAAGUGGUUCUUGAGAUAGAAUCUACUCCUGGUGAAGAUGCUGUGUA